rnacentral:lncRNA from 1 species
CUGCAGUCACAGGGGUCCUGGUGAAUGCCUCUGUCACUGUCGAAGGCAAAUGUCAAAACUCCCUGGACAUCCAAAACCUCAGCCAUCAUCGUGAAUGAUCUGGAAAACCUGAGGAAGAGGCGAGCUUGCAGGGUGGGGUGAGGAGGCAGGUUGAGGAUUCCAGGCCAGAUGCUAGAGGCUGGUACAGAGGAAUAGCACCCACCCAGAAUAGCACGGACUGCUCAAGUUGGCAGGGAUCUCUAUUUUACAAAAGGGCCCAAAGAGAGGCAGCGAGUUAUCCAAGGUCACAUAGGGAGGGAAGGAAAGAACCAGGACUAGAAUCCACAGGGCCCUGUCCCUCUGGGACACACACACUCCCCUUCCAGUGGAAUGAAAUAGGAGAGAUAGGGAGAGACAGUUUCACCAUGUUGGCCAGGCUGGUCUCAAACUCCUGUUCUCAUGUGAUCCACCUGCCUCAGCCUCCCAAAGUGUUGGGAUUACAGGCGUGAGCCACCACACCUGGCCACAGUGCCCCAUUUCUGACCUUCACAGACAUCCCCCAUCCAAGAACAAGAAGCUGAAAAUGCCCUCAGAAGGUCAGAGAAGCAGAGGGCUCUUCUCCCCAUCCCCAACCCAAAGGUGGACAAAACCUUAGAAGGUGAGAGGGACACAGAGACCCCUUUCCUAAGCAAAGGAAAGAAAUCUGUCAAGUCAGCAGCUGAAGCCCAGAGCCCCUUCGCAAGGGAAAGACUUUGGGGUGAUGGUGGGUGGGAUGCAGAGGGGUCCCCUGGACAUUGGCGGGACGUAGUGCUGACUGUGAUGGCAGCCACGGGUUUCUUGGGCCUUUUCGGUGCAUCCUCCCCGCAAGCCUCCACCACGCUGUUCCAGGUAGGCUGAGGUUAGGCCCACUCAGGGCGGCACCUUGGCGCAGGACACCUCUUCCGUUUGGGCUUUCCGUCCUCGUGAUUUCGCUCUCCAUCUGACAGUCAUCCAUGGUGACAGGGUGUGUCCCUUUCCCCUAAACAGGAUCCUCAAUGCCCAUCGGAAAACGUUGUAAGGCGUUGAGCCCCCAACGCCCCCUCACCACAAGACCCUGCUGUGACCAUCUUUUCCUGGUGAGGAGAGUCUGCACGGGGGAGCAGGGCGCCAUACCCCAGAAAGAAACCUCUGUGCCUGGGAGUGAGGGACUCGCUGAGUAAAGUGAGGUCGAAGAGGGUGGAGAGGGGUAGGGUCCCAGUCACCACUGUCCUGAACCCACAGUUCAGUCCGGGCCCAAGAUGGCCCCACAGGAGCACAGGGGGUUUCGGGCGCUGCAGGUGGAGGUGAAGGACCAGCUGCGGUGCGGAAAGGCCUGACCCGGGCGGCAGAUCGCCUGCGGAGAGAAUGACCGGCUGGGGUG